GAUGAACGCUAGCUACAGGCUUAACACAUGCAAGUCGAGGGGAAACGGCAUUGAGUGCUUGCACUCUUUGGACGUCGACCGGCGCACGGGUGAGUAACGCGUAUCCAACCUUCCCAUUACUGUGGGAUAACCUGCCGAAAGGUAGACUAAUACCGCAUAGUCUUCGAUGACGGCAUCAGAUUUGAAGUAAAGAUUUAUCGGUAAUGGAUGGGGAUGCGUCUGAUUAGCUUGUUGGCGGGGUAACGGCCCACCAAGGCGACGAUCAGUAGGGGUUCUGAGAGGAAGGUCCCCCACAUUGGAACUGAGACACGGUCCAAACUCCUACGGGAGGCAGCAGUGAGGAAUAUUGGUCAAUGGACGGAAGUCUGAACCAGCCAAGUAGCGUGCAGGAUGACGGCCCUAUGGGUUGUAAACUGCUUUUGUAUGGGGAUAAAGUUAGGGACGUGUCCCUAUUUGCAGGUACCAUACGAAUAAGGACCGGCUAAUUCCGUGCCAGCAGCCGCGGUAAUACGGAAGGUCCAGGCGUUAUCCGGAUUUAUUGGGUUUAAAGGGAGCGUAGGCUGGAGAUUAAGUGUGUUGUGAAAUGUAGACGCUCAACGUCUGACUUGCAGCGCAUACUGGUUUCCUUGAGUACGCACAACGUUGGCGGAAUUCGUCGUGUAGCGGUGAAAUGCUUAGAUAUGACGAAGAACUCCGAUUGCGAAGGCAGCUGACGGGAGCGCAACUGACGCUUAAGCUCGAAGGUGCGGGUAUCAAACAGG
rnacentral:rRNA from 1 species